rnacentral:rRNA from 1 species
AUCUAUACUGUGAAACUGCGAAUGGCUCAUUAAAUCAGUUAUAGUUUAUUUGAUAGUACCUCUACCUGGAUAACCGUGGUAAUUCUAGAGCUAAUACAUGCUAAAAACCCCGACUUCGGAAGGGGUGUAUUUAUUAGAUAAAAAACCAAUGCCCUCCGGGGCUCCUUGGUGAUUCAUGAUAACUCAACGAAUCGCAUGGCCUUGCGCCGGCGAUGGUUCAUUCAAAUUUCUGCCCUAUCAACUUUCGAUGGUAGAAUAGUGGUCUACCAUGGUCUCAACGGGUAACGGGGAAUUAGGGUUCUAUUCCGGAGAGGGAGCCUGAGAAACGGCUACCACAUCCAAGGAAGGCAGCAGGCGCGCAAAUUACCCAAUCCCAAUUCGGGGAGGUACGAUCAUCCUUUCCUUAUAUUUCCAGGGGAUGCUAACGGUGGUUUAGGUAGUGACAAUAAAUACUGAUACAGGGCUCUUUCGGGUCUUGUAAUUGGAAUGAGUACAAUCUAAAUCCCUUAACGAGGAACAAUUGGAGGGCAAGUCUGGUGCCAGCAGCCGCGGUAAUUCCAGCUCCAAUAGCGUAUAUUAAAGUUGUUGCAGUUAAAAAGCUCGUAGUUGAACCUUGGGUCUGGCCGAUCUGUCUUCCUAAACGUUGUACGGAUUCGGUCGGACCUUUCCUUCUGGGGAACCCUAUGCCCUUUACUGGGCGUANCGGGGAGCCAGGACUUUUACCUUGAAAAAAUUAGAGUGUUCAAAGCAGGCCUAUGCUCGAAUACAUUAGCAUGGAAUAAUGGAAUAGGACAGCAGUUCUAU